UAUUUUUUUCCGGUAAAGCUCUAUUAGCAAUAGUGUGAAACUGUGAACGUGAUCUUCGUAAUAUGCCUAUUGAUAACUGAUCCAAAUAUGUUACUUUUUGUGCAGGUGCAGGAGCAUAAACUUGACGAGAUGCAUACUGCAUUAAUGGAGGCGUCUAUGGAUGGUCAUGUUGAAGUAGCAAAACUGCUAUACUGGAUUCCGGUGCCCAAGUCAAUAUGCCUACGGAUAGUUUCGAAUCACCUUUAAACAUUAGCCGCAUGCGGAGGUCACGUUGAUUUAGCCAUCCUAUUAAUAGAACGCGGAGCAAAUAUCGAAGAAUUCAACGCAACCCGAGAAGGACACGAUGAUAUGGUGGCGGUUUUACUACAAAGAGGUGCUGGUAUCAACGCUCAAACCGAAGAAACGCAAGAGAUAGCUCUAACGUUAGCGUGUUGCGGCGGUUUCAUCGAA